GACGAACGCUGGCGGCGUGCUUAACACAUGCAAGUCGAACGGAAAGGCCCUGCUUUUGUGGGGUGCUCGAGUGGCGAACGGGUGAGUAACACGUGAGUAACCUGCCCUUGACUUUGGGAUAACUUCAGGAAACUGGGGCUAAUACCGGAUAGGAGCCUCUGCUGCAUGGUGGGGGUUGGAAAGUUUCGGCGGUUGGGGAUGGACUCGCGGCUUAUCAGCUUGUUGGUGGGGUAGUGGCUUACCAAGGCUUUGACGGGUAGCCGGCCUGAGAGGGUGACCGGCCACAAUGGGACUGAGAUACGGCCCAGACUCCUACGGGAGGCAGCAGUGGGGAAUAUUGCACAAUGGGCGGAAGCCUGAUGCAGCGACGCCGCGUGCGGGAUGACGGCCUUCGGGUUAUAAACCGCUUUCGCCUGUGACGAAGCGUGAGUGACGGUAAUUGGUAAAGAAGCACCGGCUAACUACGUG
rnacentral:rRNA from 1 species